rnacentral:rRNA from 1 species
UUAAUUGAAGAGUUUGAUCAUGGCUCAGAUUGAACGCUGGCGGCAGGCUUAACACAUGCAAGUCGAGCGGUAGCACGGGGGAGCUUGCUCCCUGGGUGACGAGCGGCGGACGGGUGAGUAAUGUCUGGGAAACUGCCUGAUGGAGGGGGAUAACUACUGGAAACGGUAGCUAAUACCGCAUAACGUCGCAAGACCAAAGAGGGGGACCUUCGGGCCUCUUGCCAUCAGAUG